UCCUUGAGGAAGGUCAUUCUUGAAGCUCCAACAAACAUUUAUUUUAGAGCUAAGGAAUUCAGACCUCUGCUUUUAAGACUGUUUUGAUAGAAAAAGAACUUGAGGCCUAGAGAGGGACAGAAGCAUGGGGGAGGGUGGAGAUAAAGGGUUUAUCUCAGGCCGGCAAAGAUAAACUUGGCUCCGUUUCUCGUUUCUUUCCGUGGAAGCUUUCUAAAUUCACCCAGGGAAACAGCCAGUGUACCCUGGAGCUCACUGGAGCUCACACUCAACUCUUGCUGGCUACAGAGGGGACAGUGACAAGUUUCCAAUAUUCACAUGUUAGAGCGUGUCUGAAACGGUUGAAGAUCUCAGCGGGGACCACCGUAGCGGCUAUGCAGUUUAGGAAUUGAGUUUGCCUGCGGUGGCGGCUUGGAGACCCACGAUCUCCAAGGCAGCCACAUUCUAAGUCAUGUGAAAAUGUUUCUGGGCUUUCCUGGAAAGGAUCAUUAAUUCACUUCUGCACCUGAUCAGGAAGCUGGGCCAGCUGGACACUGCUGAGAUCUUGAUUUGCCAUUAUCCCUGUCUAUUGGCAGCCUCUUGAUGGAUUGUUUUCCCCCCCGGGCCAGGGUCAAGAUAGGCUAGUCAGUGAAAAACAUUUCUUUCUUCUUCUUCUUUUUUCUUUUCAGAAAAGGGCAUGCUGCCUCUGCUUGUUGCCAUAACUGACUCUCAUCCAGACAUAGGAAAUCAUUCGCUUUUAAUUAUUUCGUUUCCAGGUCUGACCAGAAUGAACUUUGUGUUUUGUGGUUGUGGAUUCUUUAAAAGCAUGUCUUAGUAACUACUGUCAGGGUUGAAAAUACCUAAGAGAAUGUUGCUAGGCCGUUUGAAGCUGACAGAAAUAAAUGGAAGAUUGUAAAGAGAGCAGAGUGGAGCUAUAACAGCAUUAAGACGAGGCAGGCAGGUUUGUGAAGAUGAAAGAUGGAGCGAAUGAUACUGAGAAUUGACCAGGAGUUUCUGUUUAUCAAUUGUCUGGAGAAAGGAAAUAACUCAUCAGUUCCAGUCUGAAGAUCAGCGGCGCUGAAAUCAGGCUCUAAGAUCUUAAUCCUGUAGGAAUGAAAGAUGAUUGGCCUGUGGCCUGCUCCGUGACAAGCCGUCUCUUUGCUUUGGAAUACAGUCUUAUCACACGGUG